rnacentral:lncRNA from 1 species
UUUUUUUCUUUCUUUUUUUUCUUACACUGAAAUACAAUGAGACUCCUCUACGUUAAGUACUCGUGUGAGUCGUGAAAUGCAGUGCUGCGGUUAGGAAGGGAGGCAAACAAAGCAUUCAUUUCUGAAAGGCAGUAUGUCUUGAAAAAGGCUGUCAAAAAAGAGGGAUAACUGCUUCCUGAGCUGUAGGCUCAACCAAGAUGCUUAACAAUAUUCCUUUCCUUUGUGGGGGGAAAAAAAAAAAGAUAAGCCUUUUAAGACACUUUGUAAUAACAGAAAGAUCCUCCUUUUCUAUCUUUUUUUUUCCCUCCUUUUAAGGUCCCAAAGAAGGCACUAAAAGCAGAAUCCCAUGAAUAUUUAUUGGAUAUAUUUAUUUUAUUAAAUAAAUACUAUUUACAUAUUAGAAAGAGUAUUAAUACAUGAUUAUGCAACUAAAAUUAUGGCCAUAAAGAGACACACUAAUGACAUUUAGAAUCAAUAGGAGUUUGCUGAUGUCAAGGAAUAGCUAUUGAAAGUAUUCUGAAAAAUUCUGCUGAUUUUCUCCACACCACCCCCGCAAUACCAUCACCACCAUCAGCGGGACCACUAACCAUCUGUCUACCCACAGUGCUACCAAAAAGGUGACAUUUAUUGCAAGCUUGGCAUUUUCUGAAUCUGUCCUGAACCACAAAAAUUAUGCUGAACUCCCCAAAAGAAAUGAAGUUGUGUUUACUUUAUUCUUCAUCUCUCUCUUUUUGCCUGACUAGUAACAGGAAGUUCUUGGAAACUUCCCAGAGAAUGGCUGGUCUUGUAAGAGUCCCAAACCAAUCUUGUAGGCGCCAGAGUCCUGGCACAUCUGAGGGAAGGGUUUGAGAAGCACCUGCACUGCCCCUUUCAACCAAAUCUCCCAUCACUAAGCCUGAGAAAUUCCCCUUGUUAUUUAUUCGCCGUGAUCUUGAGUGGAGGGAGGUCAAGCAAAAAAGCUACAAGGCUUGCCCCAACCAACCCUGCACAGCCAUUACAUAAGAAAAUGUAGAAAAAUAACUACAAAGUACCUUCAAGUUUGCAAGCAAAUUAGGACCCUUACUUAAACCCUGAAGUCGAGUUAUAACCUCUUCCCUAUUCGGAACUUCUUAACAAAUAAAAGGCAGAGUUGGGAGGGAAAACUCAAGAUGCCUCCUGAGUCUAAUGAGCAUAUCGUUUUUUUUUUUUCCCACCUUCGAGCCCCUCAAGAAGUAUUCGUGAGGGAGCUCGCUUACAUUCCUGCUUCAGUCUAUACCAACGAAUCUUAAACCCUCGGGCCUAUUCCUUCUCCUUCUCCGUCUCCAUUAUGUGGUUAGAAUUCUGAGGGAGUUGGAGACAAGGCGAGAACAACAGAGAUUAUUUGCAGGAAUACCUCCCCUACUGCCUGGCGCUAAGUGGGCUCUACCUAGUGUUAUUAUGAACCAAGAGGUUGCAUCAGGGACAACGUGAGGGCUGCCGGGAAUAAAGAAGAGCUUCUAAGGUCUUCGGAGUGGACUGCAAUAACCAUGGAGAUGAGGUAAUUCAUGAAGCUAAAAGCAAGAGAAGGGGUGGGUUACGGACAAGCUGUGGUUAAGAAAUUUUGUUCUGCUCUCAUUUUUAUUCUUUCCAGUAGUUUCAUUAACUUCUCAGUCCCAACAGUGGUUGAAACUCUAAGGAUAUAACUCUCCUCAUUAAACAGAUGUAUGGAUUUCUAUAAAAGUACCCCAAGCCCACAAAAUAGAUGCCUAAUUCAUCUUAUCGAUGUCUGCAAACCCACCAUUAAAUAUUAUUUUCAUUUAAAGCCUCUGGCUCAUUAGAACAAAAAUGUUCCUAAAGAAACAUAUCAGGUAGCAUCCGUAAUUUCACAUUAGUAUAAAUUCGUAACUUGACCAAAUAGCUAAUAAUAGAUAAUGAUUCACUGAGGGUUUAUUUUGUGCCUGGGGUUGUAUGACGUGUUUCAUGUGCAGUAUCUCAUUGAAUCACUAACGAAAUCCUUUGGGUGGCAGUCACAGAGGUGGCUCUGUGAAAUCUAUGCUAAGUGAUUGUCUUGACCAUUUGCAAGAUCAUUCCUCUUGUCAGUGCUGAUCUAGGCAUGGGCAUGUGACCAAAUCCUAGCCAGUAAGAUGUGAAAGGAAAUCUGGAGAGGGGCUUUCAGGAAAGAUUUUCUUACUCCUAAAAAAGGAUACACACAGUAUGAGAUUCUCUAGUUCAUCCAUGUUGCUGCAAAUGGCAUUAUGUCAUUCUUUCUUAUGGCUGAAUAGUAUUCCAUUGUGUAUAUAUACCACAUCUUCUGAAUCCAAUCAUCUGUCGAUGGACAUUUGGGUUGUUUCCAUGUCCUGGCUAUUGUGAAUAGUGCUGCAAUGAACAUCUUGGGCUUAUCAGACACAACCUAGAAUAGAUUUACAAGGAGAUCCUGCUGAAUAGCAUUGAGAACUUUGUCUAGAUACUCAUGUUGCAACAGAAGAAAGGGUGGGGGAAAAAUGUAAUUGUAAUGUAUACGUGUAAGGAUAACCUGACCCCCUUGCUGUACAGUGGGAAAAUUAAAAAAAAUUAUAAAAAAAAUAAAUAAAUAAAAGAAAAAAAAAGGAUACACAAGAACGAGACAUUCUUUCCCAUUGUUGGGUAUGACAUCUGGGGUGAAUGCAACCACACUGCCACCAUGAAGUGACCAAGGGGAGAAGCAGAAAGCAGUUGAGCCCUGAAGGGUACUCUUGAGCCACUGGUCCCACUUCGCCUGAACUAAACUAUCUUCUGACUUCCGCUUAAGUGAGACGGAUUUCGUGACUAGGCAUGUCGGUGUGACACGGGGUUUCCUGUUACUUUCGGCAGAGGUCGUUCCAACUGAAACACAAGGAGCUUAAUGUCACUGUCGUCCCCCUUCCACUGGUGAAGAAAGUCAUAAAGGUAAAAUAAGUUUCUGUAUCUCCCAUGAUAGGAGGCUAUGGAACUGAUUUGAACUAAACAAGCAGACUUCUAAAUUCAUACACAAACCACUAUGCCAUGCUUACAACAAUGUUAAAAAAGCAAGCAUGCUUAUAACAAUGUUAAAAAAGCAAUAAUGUUAAGGGACACAGCAGCCUGAGAUUGAUCCCACAGGUAAAUGAGAGCAGUGUCAGGAGACAAGAGGGCUCUCUGAGCUCCUGAGGCUCUCCAGUGAUUCACAUGGGUGGUGCUCCCUGGAGAGCUCUGCCGAAGUGCUCCAACCAUCCGACUCAGCAGUCAGUCAUUGAACGCACUGGGCACUGUUUCCCGAGGCUUACUCUCUGCUUCGUAGCAGAGCAGAGAGCCAGUAGAGAACUGACUAUUAAAGAGGCAUUAUAAGAUAAAGGCUAUAAAGCUACUUUCCUUCAGGAACACAGCAAAGAGUAAAUAAUUCAACAGAGGAUGAAUCUCUUUAUCCCCUUGCCCCUUCCAGGGUGGUCAAGAACCUCUCUGUGCCACCUCCUUCUAUGUCAAUUAAUUCGGAUCUUUUAUUUCUUCUCCACAAUCCUUGUUCAAGCCAGUCAUCUCCAAGGAUGCGGAAUCCCGGCAUCUUAUCAAGGCUCCAGGAGAAGGAAUGGAGUGUAUCUCCUUCAAUCAACUGACGGGCUUGCCUAAUAUUCUCGGCUGUGAAACUGUAAGCAGACUGGAGCCGAAAGCACUAUCUUUACCAUAUAUAUUAAGCAAUCAUUUUAGCAAAAUCAAAAUGUUAAUCCUGGUAUUCAAGGUCGUCUUCUAUGUACAUGCAAAUAUCUUUCAAGGUCAUGACCUUGAUAUUAAGUGUUUAUCUAAAAAUGCCACAGAUCUGUCACUAAUUGUUUACUCAUGCGCAAAGCAGCCAAGCUGCCCACAGCUGCCAACUAGAGACCUGGCAGGAAGUGAAAUUAUCGGCACGUAGGAAAGACCCAACCAUAACAUCAGAAUUACAUAAAAUAGGGAAUUAUCUUAUUUUGGGAGAGCAAUGUCAGAACGUGGCUAACCAAUAAAAAUCUCUCUCACCCCAUUUAUGAUUAUUUUCUGUUAAUUCCCAGCAGACUAGAAAUACUCAUUUCCAAAACUACCCAAUUGGACAUAAAAGGAGAAAACAGAGUUUUUGAGAUGUCUGUUCCCCCUGAAAAAAGGUUUAAGUCAAACUGCUUUUAAAAAUGCUCCUCACUCUCCAUUUAGAAGCAUUGUUGCCUAAAGAAGAUGAUGAGCUGGCCACAUUUUCGCCCUCAAAGCUAAGUCUACAGGCAACUUUUCUCAUAAACAGUCCCUAAGAAGCACUUCUUCCCACGUUAUAUGUCAAGGAACUUUUAAAAGAACUGUUCCAAGUGCGAACAUUUAGAAACACACAUGCCCAUGUCACAGGAAAGCCAUCAACACUCUUGCAGAGCUAUAGGCCUGCCCUCAAGGGACCCAGAACUAUUCCAUUAUAACAGAAAGUCUGUGGAAUGUAAAUCCAGGGCCCUGAAAUGCUGUAUAUUUUUCAAGAAGUACAAAGUGGAAGCCAUUGAUUCCAUGGACUCACCAAAUGAAUGGAUUGUUUCAUCUGCAUAAAUGAACUGUCAGAAACAAUGGCCACGUAACACAUUUGCUCCUGUUCCCCAAAGAGGAAAAACCCAUAUCCCCAAUAAAGCCAUAUCUUUUUAUGAAACUUAAGCAAAGAAGCAUGGGGAAAAGAAAGCUUGAUUUAUACUCUAAAAUCUAGAUGGCUGAAGUCAGACAUGCAGCAUGGGCCAGAAAUAUGCAGCUCAAUUCUUUCUGAAGACACAGAAGGCACUUUGCCUUCAAAACACAAAAGAGUGACUCUCUAUUCUACAUUCAUGGCUAUUUGACCAAAUGCACAAAAGCACUUCUCAUAUUAUGUAUAGUUUUACUUUCUAAUCACUCUUUUUCUUAAGUACUUUUCUCCAAAGUUUUUAUUCUUAACACUUUCACCCUCCACUUUUCUACAUGCCCUUGUUUUCAGAUGUGGUGUUUCCUUAUAAAAUAUUCAGAACCCUGAAAAGGUUACGAUGAAUAAUGUAAGAAAAGCCAUUUUGUCUCCACUUACCAUUACUAUCCAAUCUUAGAUUUGUGUAAGGUGUUCCAAAUUUAUCUUAAGCAAUUAUUCUUAAGUUGUUGCUUCUUAUCUACUGAUCUCCAGAAUUACCCCUCUCCCCUUUUGCUUAUGAUCUCUUCUUCCUGAAGUCACUAUUGUCUAAACUUUGGUAUUUAUUAUUAUUCUCCUUCAUAGACAUUGAUCUUCUUUACACAGGACUUUAAAACAGUAUGACACAGUACAAAACCUUAUGUAAUUUGUUUUAUUGUCUGGCUGUUUAUGCAAAACAUUCUUUUGCACAUCAAUACAUAUAUAUACAUAGAGACCCUGAAGCUAUUCAUUAUAAUGACUUAUAGUACCCACUGUAUAAAUACAGGAAAGUCUAAUCUAUUUUUGACGAACACUUUCUCUCCCUUCCCAUCACUGUUUUUCUUUCUUGUGCUCUGUGAUCACUUAAGACUCCCAUGGACUGGUUCCAGUGCCUUCUCCUUGAAGAGAUGUCUCUGUCAUCUUGGGCAGCACCAGAAGGCCAUGUGCACCUGUCGGCUCUGGCUAAUUACCUAUGUUUUGAUUUCCUUUCGGUUUCUUCACAUACUGUGUGUUACACAUGAGUAUUCUGCUAUUAUCUUUCUGCACUGCUCAUUUAAGCCCAGAGCUUUAAGACUAGCAAAAUCUUAAAAGCUACAGAGCCCAAUCUUCCUUUUAUAAACUAUGACAGUGCCAGGAGGAGGUGAGUGAUGUGCCCACAGUCAUGCAACGUCUUAGUGAAGAGAAGGGUUGAGGACCUGGAUCUUCUGGCUCCCAGUCCCUGUUCUUUUCACUACACCAAACUGCUGCUCACCCACUCAGCCAAACAAGAUUUCUCUGCUAUGAGUGGGUUCUCAACAAAUCUGUUAACAUCUUACAUCAGAGAAAACUAGGCAAUAUGGAAACAUCCCAAAAGGGUUCAUGUCCUCAGGGACAUUAAAGACAAAAGAAAACAUUAUAGGCAACUAUAUGACCCCAGAUAGGAUAAAAUUCCCAAUAGCAAAAGCAACAACUUCUCUAUCGGUACAUCUAUAUAAUUUUUAUGAACAUUUCAAAGUAUGUUGGAGACGGAGACAUCACAGCACUUUAUUAUUGUACGUUAUGUCACUGGGUUUUUCUGUAGAACAGGGUUAUUCUCUUCCAUGGCUACAAAACUACUAAAAUCCAUGAUAUUUUACAUUGAUAUAAUACUAACAGUCCAUAUUAAAGUUUUAUCAAUGUUCCCGAAAGUGUUCUUUGUAGCUUUUCUCCUACCCCAGUACCCAUCACCUUAGGAUCACACAUAAAACUGUGUAACUUAUAAGGAAAACACUUUGCUCUGCGUUGUCUCUGAUUCAUCUACUUACAUAACCAUUACCGGAACUCUACCGAGAGUGAAGGAGACCAGCUCGAGCCACAGGGUGGAGGGUGGAUGAAAUAAAAUCUAACUUUGAUAGAUUAUGAUCAAUACUGUGCUAGAGAUAGUCACUGAAUACUCUGCCAUGAGGAAGCUUUACACAGACGCUGAGACUGUAAGGAGUGGAAAGAGGAGUUUCCAUUGUGGCGCCGAAGAAAUGAAUCCAACUAGGAACCAUGAGGUUGCAGGUUCAAGCCCUGGCCUC